rnacentral:miRNA from 1 species
AGGUUGGUGCAAAAAUAAUUGCGGUUUUUGCCAUUACUUUCAGUGGCAAAACCUCAAUUGUUUUGCACCAACCUAAUA